CGGAGAACGCCUUGCUGAAGUUGACACAGUGGAUGUCUCUUCCAAUUACAGGACAGUUCAGCCAGGAGGAUAUUGUUUGAAAGUUGGAUUACAGCUUGCAGCGGAAAGGAGUCGCCUAUACUGCCCGUCAGCUGCAGCCCAGAAGAUGUAGUGAAGUGGAGGAAAGCAACAUAAAAAAGAGACUCAUGGUAUCUCCGGCUGUCGCGCUGGAUAAACUGAAGGAGGACUGGUUACAGUACGAAAAGGAAUGUAACCACAAC
ensembl:lncRNA